CAGUAGCCGCGGGAACACGAAGGGGGCUAGCGUUACUCGGAAUUACUGGGCGUAAAGGGCGCGUAGGCGGCACGAUUAGUCAGGCGUGAAAUUCCUGGGCUCAACCUGGGGACUGCGCUUGAUACGGUCGAGCUAGAGGAUGGAAGAGGGUCGUGGAAUUCCCAGUGUAGAGGUGAAAUUCGUAGAUAUUGGGAAGAACACCGGUGGCGAAGGCGGCGACCUGGUCCAUUACUGACGCUGAGGCGCGACAGCGUGGGGAGCAAACAGGAUUAGAUACCCCCGUAGUCCCUGUCUCUUAUAC
rnacentral:rRNA from 1 species